rnacentral:rRNA from 1 species
AGCGAACGCUGGCGGCAGGCCUAACACAUGCAAGUCGAACGACCUCUUCGGAGUUAGUGGCGGACGGGUGAGUCACACGUGGGAACGUGCCUUUUGGUUCGGAAUAACUCAGGGAAACUUGUGCUAAUACCGAAUGUGCCCUUCGGGGGAAAGAUUUAUCGCCCUUAGAGCGGCCCGCGUCUGAUUAGCUAGUUGGUGAGGUAACGGCUGACCACGGCGACGAUCAGUAGCUGGUCUGAGAGGAUGACCAGCCUCACUGGGACUGAGACACGGCCCAGACUCCUACGGGAGGCAGCAGUGGGGAAUCUUGCGCAAUGGGCGAAAGCCUGACGCAGCCAGGCCGCGUGAAUGAUGAAGGUCUUAGGAUUGUAAAAUUCUUUCACCGGGGACGAUAAUGACGGUACCCGGAGAAGAAGCCCCGGCUAACUUCGUG